CCUACGGGAGGCAGCAGUGGGGAAUCUUGCGCAAUGGGCGAAAGCCUGACGCAGCAACGCCGCGUGCGGGAAGAAGGCUUUCGGGCUGUAAACCGCUUUCAGCAGGAACGAAAAUGACGGUACCUGCAGAAGAAGGAGCGGCCAACUAUGUGCCAGCAGCCGCGGUGAUACAUAGGCUUCAAGCGUUGUCCGGAUUUAUUGGGCGUAAAGAGUUCGUAGGCGGUCGAGUAAGUCGGGUGUGAAAAUUCUGGGCUCAACCCAGAGACGCCACCCGAUACUGCUUGACUUGAGUUCGAUAGGGGAGUGGGGAAUUCCUAGUGUAGCGGUGAAAUGCGCAGAUAUUAGGAGGAACACCGGUGGCGAAGGCGCCACUCUGGAUCGAUACUGACGCUGAGGAACGAAAGCAUGGGUAGCAAACAGGAUUAGAUACCCUGGUAGUCCAUGCCGUAAACGGUGGGCACUAGGUGUGGGUUUACCUAUUAACGAAAUCCGCGCCGUCGCUAAACGCAUUAAGUGCCCCGCCUGGGGAUACGGUCGCAAGACUAAACUUAAAUGAAUUGACCGGNGNGAGAGNGCGAGACGACACGAGGAGAG
rnacentral:rRNA from 1 species